UCAAGUUAUUAAGGGUGCAGGGCGAAUGCCUUGGCACUAGGAGCCGAUGAAGGACGUGAUAAGCUGCGAUAAGCUUGGGGGAGUUGCACGUAAACUGUGAUCCCAAGAUUUCCGAAUGAGGAAACUCACUUAGAGUAAUGUCUAAGUAUCGUAUAGUGAAUACAUAGCUAUGCGAAGGGAACCCGGGGAACUGAAACAUCUAAGUACCCGGGGUUGUCCCGGCCGGAGGCGAUGGCGGCGGCGGUGGGGGGCGAGCGAACGCGGAACAGGCCAAACCAGUGAAGUUUUCUUCGCUGGGGUUGCGGACAUAUCAUAACGAAGAGGUAUCGUAGAGGAAGAGAGUUGGAAAGCUCCGCCAUAGAUGGUAACAGCCCAGUAUUUUAAACGAGAAGACUUUAGAUAUGAUCCAGAGUACCACGGGACACGUGAAACCCUGUGGGAAGCAGGAGGGACCAUCCUCCAAGCCUAAAUACUACCUAGUGACCGAUAGCGUAUAGUACCGUGAGGGAAAGGUGAAAAGAACCCCGGGAGGGGAGUGAAAGAGAACCUGAAACCCUGCACUUACAAGCUGUAGGAGCACAUUAUUUGUGUGACUGCGUACUUUUUGUAGAACGGGCCAACGAGUUACGUUGUGUAGCAAGGUUAAGCACUUAAGGUGUGGAGCCGUAGCGAAAGCGAGUCUUAAAUGGGCGUCCAGUUACCCGACGUAGACCCGAAACCAGGCGACCUAUCCAUGAGCAGGUUGAAGCGAAAGUAAAAUUUCGUGGAGGACCGAACCCACGUACGUUGAAAAGUGCGGGGAUGACUUGUGGAUAGCGGUGAAAUUCCAAUCGAGCCUGGAGAUAGCUGGUUCUCCCCGAAAUAGCUUUAGGGCUAGCCUCAAGCUUAGAGAAACGGAGGUAGAGCACUGAAUGUCCUAGGGGGUAUUGCACUUACCGAAGACUAUCAAACUCCGAAUGCCGUAUUCUUUUGCUUGGGAGUCAGACUAUGGGUGAUAAGAUUCAUAGUCAAGAGGGCAACAGCCCAGAUCGUCAGCUAAGGUCCCUAAAUGUAAGUUAAGUGGUAAAGGAUGUGGAAUUGCACAGACAACCAGGAUGUUGGCUUAGAAGCAGCCACUCAUUUAAAGAGUGCGUAAUAGCUCACUGGUCGAGUGAUUCUGCGCCGAAAAUUUCCGGGGCUAAAACUUACUACCGAAGCUACGGCAUCAUUAUGAUGGGUAGGGGAGCUUUCUAUACGGGUUGAAGCAUGACCGUAAGGACAUGUGGACUGUAUAGAAGUGAGAAUGUUGGCAUGAGUAGCGAGAUGUGGGUGAGAAUCCCACAGGCCGUAAACCCAAGGUUUCCAGGGGAAGGUUCGUCCGCCCUGGGUUAGUCAGGACCUAAGCCGAGGCCGAAAGGCGUAGGUGAUGGACAACAGGUUGAUAUUCCUGUACCACCAAUAACCGUUUGAGAAAUGGGAUGACACAGUAGGAUAAGCUAACCGCACUGUUGGUUAUGUGCGGGCAAGUAUUGAGGCAGUUCCGAUAGGCAAAUCCGUCGGAAUAAUGCUGGGGUACGAUGCGGAGCGAAAUUAAGUAGCGAAGUAGCUGAUUUCACACUGUCGAGAAAAGUCUCUAUCGAGGUUAAAGGUGCCUGUACCGCAAACCGACACAGGUGGGUGAGGAGAGUAUCCUAAGGCCAGCGAGAGAACUGUUGUUAAGGAACUCGGCAAAAUGACCCCGUAACUUAGGGAGAAGGGGUGCCUUCGAAAGAAGGCCGCAGAGAAUAGGCCCAAGCGACUGUUUACCAAAAACAUAGGUUUCUGCUAAGUCGCAAGACGAUGUAUAGGAGCUGACGCCUGCCCGGUGCUGGAAGGUUAAGGGGAUCUGUUAGAGCAAUCGAAGCAGUGAACUUAAGCCCCAGUAAACGGCGGCCGUAACUAUAACGGUCCUAAGGUAGCGAAAUUCCUUGUCGGGUAAGUUCCGACCC
rnacentral:rRNA from 1 species